GUGGGAAUCUUCCGCAAUGGACGAAAGUCUGACGGAGCAACGCCGCGUGAGUGAUGAAGGUCUUCGGAUUGUAAAGCUCUGUUAAUCGGGACGAAAGAGCCUAGUGUGAAUAAUGCUAGGAAGUGACGGUACCGGAAUAGAAAGCCACGGCUAACUACGUGCCAGCAGCCGCGGUAAUACGUAGGUGGCAAGCGUUGUCCGGAAUUAUUGGGCGUAAAGCGCGCGCAGGCGGAUCUGCCAGUCUGUCUUAAAAGUUCGGGGCUUAACCCCGUGAUGGGAUGGAAACUACAGAUCUAGAGUAUCGGAGAGGAAAGUGGAAUUCCUAGUGUAGCGGUGAAAUGCGUAGAUAUUAGGAAGAACACCAGUGGCGAAGGCGACUUUCUGGACGAAAACUGACGCUGAGGCGCGAAAGCCAUGGGAGCGAACGGGAUUAGAAACCCUUGUAGUCC
rnacentral:rRNA from 1 species